AAACAGCGAUAAGGGAACCUCGAGUGCCAGGUUACAAAUCUGGCUGUCGUGAUGCCUAAAAAGCAUUGCAUAGCAAGGCCGGCAAGACCGGUGCCAGCCGCCGCGGUAACACCGGCGGCUCGAGUGGUAACUGUUAUUAUUGGGUCUAAAGGGUCUGUAGCCGGCCAGAUAAGUCUCUUGGGAAAUCUGGCAGCUUAACUGUCAGGCUUUCAGGGGAUACUGUCUGGCUCGAGGCCGGGAGAGGUGAGAGGUACUUCAGGGGUAGGGGUGAAAUCUUGUAAUCCUUGAAGGACCACCAGUGGCGAAGGCGUCUCACCAGGACGGACCUGACGGCAAGGGACGAAAGCUAGGGGCACGAACCGGAUUAGAUACCCGGGUAGUCCUAGCCGUAAACGAUACUCGCUAGGUGUCGGCCACGGUGCGACCGUGGUCGGUGCCGUAGGGAAGCCGUGAAGCGAGCCACCUGGGAAGUACGGCCGCAAGGCUGAAACUUAAAGGAAUUGGCGGGGGAGCACCACAACGGGUGGAGCUUGCGGUUUAAUUGGAUUCAACGCCGGG
rnacentral:rRNA from 1 species